rnacentral:rRNA from 1 species
GAUGAACGCUAGCUACAGGCUUAACACAUGCAAGUCGAGGGGAAACGACAUCGAAAGCUUGCUUUUGAUGGGCGUCGACCGGCGCACGGGUGAGUAACGCGUAUCCAACCUUCCCGCAACUGGGGGAUAACCUUGCGAAAGUAAGACUAAUACCCCAUGGUCUCCACGGAUGGCAUCUGAAAUGGAGUAAAGGUUUCGGCCGGUUGCGGAUGGGGAUGCGUCCGAUUAGCUUGACGGCGGGGUAACGGCCCACCGUGGCAUCGAUCGGUAGGGGUUCUGAGAGGAAGGUCCCCCACAUUGGAACUGAGACACGGUCCAAACUCCUACGGGAGGCAGCAGUGAGGAAUAUUGGUCAAUGGGCGGAAGCCUGAACCAGCCAAGUAGCGUGAAGGACGACUGCCCUAUGGGUUGUAAACUUCUUUUAUGCGGGGAUAAAGUUCGCCACGUGUGGCGUUUUGCAGGUACCGCAUGAAUAAGGACCGGCUAAUUCCGUG